GCAAUAUAUAGCCUAUCCAAUCCAAGUGUCAACCUCACCUACGCGCGGUGAAUCUUGUUAUAAAUAUAUGCGAGUAUAUAUAGCAGGCGAGGCUCUGGCGACCCCAACUUUUUGGCGGGGGAGAAAAUAGUUUAAAACAUCGUAAAAUUAUGACAAAGAAGAUCAAACAAAAUCCGCAUCCACACAACAUUAAUGACCGACUUUUCCUUUAACGUUUGCAAGAUUGGUUGGCAGCUGAAGUUUUAUUAAAGCUAUAAAAAUAUAUGUACGAGUAUGCUAACAAAAUUUUAAUGGAAUUGGGAGCAGCUGGGCACGUUUGGAAAUCCUCAGUGGCUACUUUUUCCGAAAUUCGGCAAUAAAUUUAUUUCUUCAGCUUUGGCUACCGAAGCUUUGCUUGAUCGGCAAUGUCGGAGGAUUACACACAACAGAAAAAUUGUGAUUUAUGUGGUACUUUUUUAAACUGUGUAACAACGUGAAAAUAAAUAUAUGUAUAUCGCCCUACCUCAUUAAAAAGCCGUACAGCACGGAAAGUGGAGAGCACAAAAAGGAGAGAUGCAAGCGAUGAAGAGAUCUCUUAAUUGAGUUAUUCAACCUCUAACUGUGUCGAUUCAAUGAACUGAACAAGAAAAGCGCCUACAGCAUAUACUUCUCGGUGGUUAUAGCUAAUAAGCAGCCAAUUACACAAAUUUUUCCCACCCUACUCCGUGGGUGCAUGACAAGCUUUUGCGCACGAUGAAGAACACUGGAUCUUUCAAUUAAGGGAUUUCUCAAUGCUGAUCACAACGGCGAUAAUAUUUUUGGCUUUGCGCACUCUCUACGUAAGCUCAUUGACAAAUGAGGUUAAAAAGUGUAAAUUGAGCGAAAAAGUUUUCAAUUACGUUGCGAUUAGUUGUUGUUGUAGCAGUAUAAACAUUCCCCAUACUUACAUACAGGGAAUGCUGCUGGAGUGACAAUCCUUGGCCGGAUAUAAAUGCGAGUCGUUUCGGUAACGUAGAAUCGACUCGUGGAAACGUCGUUGCGAUCAAUGUGCAAUAAAACACAAAAACAAAACAAACCACUUGUGUACAACACCUGACAUACGAUAAAAGCAUAGAUAUACCUCCGUCCUAAUGGACGUCGACAAGACAGCCCAAACAUGCCUGACAACCUCCUCGAGCUUGUCGAACUGGUUCCUGUCCUAGCUGUCAGUGGUGGGGGACAAGACAACCGCACUGACGGGAUACGUCAGCAACUCAGACACCGCAAGGCAAACUGGAUGCAAAGCCCAAUUAUCUUGGGCAUCCUUACCACACUCCUAUGUAGCGUCGGGAUAUAUCUUCGCAAAUACAGCAGCGAGAACAACUUCAUCCAGAACAACGGCAGCAGUGAUACCCGUACAAACGGAAGACGAACUCGCGAAACUAUGGCCCAUCGACCGAAAAGCCGAGGGAGGUCAAAGUUUUUAAUAACAGGGCAAGACAUGCCUCUUACCAUAAAGCAGGCCAUCGCAGAGGGGAUAUUGUCUCCAGCGAGUACUACGUCUACUACUCUUGCUUGGCCCGGAACAUGGUAGACGCUCUUGAAGGUGUAGACCUCUUGAGGUGCAACACGUUUGCCAAAUAUGAAGCAGACAACCCGGAGCUAGCCACGUUGUGGAAGACAACUAUGGACGUGAUAUACGGGACGUACCCAGUGACCCGAACCGCAUCCCGGGCCGCAUCGGUGAUAUACGAGAAGGUCGCAAAAGAUAAAGUAGCGAACAACACCAACCCGUCUGCUGAGACAGUCUUAACACUGGUGUUCCCAACCUCCGUCUCACUCUACCUCUGAGGUUUAUCAACGUGGCGAUUAGUCGUCUUAGUUGGCGUUAGCCGAUAGUUAGGCGCCGCCCUCUGUGAGGAUCUUUUAACGGAACACUGAUUUUGGAUACACAUUUCAAACACUAUUCAAGAAGUACGUCAUCGAAAACUGAAAUAAAAACAAACUAAUCGAUUACUGAAAAAAUCAGCAGCAAACACAACUUCGGAUUUCGCCAAAGUCUCCAAGUGAUACAUACAUAAAUGCAACGUGUUGACAGCUCUAAGCAUUUGCUUACUAUGAGUAAUGCACACACAACUAAAGAAAGAUCAUAUCGCAACAAAUAACGAGUAUUUUUGCUUAGGAGUUCAAGUGUUUAUGAACUGGUUUUGAUGCACUAAAUAAAAAAAAAAAAAAAUAAAAAUAAAAACUCGCGAAUGAAUAAAUGGGCUUUUCCCACUUUUAUAAACUAAUUUUGAAAAUAAUUAAAGAUUACAUCAGAUGAGAAUUAACUUGUUAUCAUAAACAGGCAAAGAGCAUAGAGC